rnacentral:lncRNA from 1 species
AACUUUGUGAAUGCUAAUCAAGCAAGCAUACCUGAGCAACAUUUUCAGCAUUUUACUUAUAUUUUAAACUGACAGUGAAAUGCUUCUGAAUAAUCAAGUUUACAGAUUGUUAUACUCAGCUAGGGGUUGUGGGGUCUAUAAUCCCAGCACAUCAAGGCUAAGGCAGGAGGACUGCACAAAUCCAAGAGAGCCUGGGCUACAUGAUGAAUUCCAAGUUAGGGUGGACUACAAAGUAUGAACCAGAAAUAGUCCCAGACUCAUUAAGAAUUAUUAGGAAUUAACUCUCUAGAUUUUGACAAUACAUAAUUAUAUUAGAGAUUCUUCCUGAGAAUCUUGUUUUGCUCACAAGUACAAAGACUUGAUAUUAAACAAAAAUUAAGAAUGAUUUAUCAAAAAGAAAGCAAAUCUAUAUAUUGUUUUCAUUCUCUCCUUAGUCGGGGCAAGGGGGUCUGGGGAUUGAUAAAAUGGCUACAGGCACAAUAAGCAUGUGCUUUUGGACCAAGCUGUCCAGGCAGUCCCUACAAGUAGUUCUAAUGGAGAAAGAAUUGAUCAAAAUAAGACCCAAUUCAUCUUUAUAAAUUAGAACACUGAUAUGUUUGUCAAGUUGCCCUAAAAAUACAAAUCAAAGUUGCACACAGGCCAUUCCAUAUCCAUUGACACACAUGAGGUUCUUAAACACCAUUCUUUGGUUUUAAAUGCUUUCCGGAGAAACUGGCUUCCUGUUACACCAGCUUUCUAAUUAGUGGGCACUUGAAAUAUGAGUUCCAGGCCUAUUGAAAAUAAAGCCUUUCCAUUUUGAAAACAGGUAAUUCUGUUAGAAAUUCUUCCCAAGAAUCGUGUUUUAUUCACGGGUAUAAAGACCUUCAGAGCAAGAUUGAUUUCUCCCCACUAGCCUGGCCUUAAGUUUAGAAAAAGUGUAUCUUGCUCUAGUUAUUUCAGCAUUAGGCAGAUACCUUAAUCGGCAAUCUGACCUGUCUUAACAAGUGGAUGUAGCCCAAGCUUGUCAUUGAUGUAGUUCAUGAUAUUCCUAAGGUUCUUUCAAGUUUAUCUCUCAUCAACCUCAAAGAGCUAAGGGGCAAAAUGAUGUUUUGCAUUUUAAACAAAGAAAUGUUAAAUUUGAGAGCUGUUUAUAUUUUUAUUUAUGGCUGCUGUCUAUUUUUGAACCUGUAGAAAUCAACGAUCUUAAACUAGAAAACCUUAUUCUAAAAGGGCAGCAGGAGUAGAAAUCCUCGGGGGUUUUUCCACCUUAGUUUUAAUGAUUGAAAGAAAAAAGGAAUCCAAAACAGCUUUUUUAAAUUAUCUGCUUAAACUAUGAGAAUAGUAUCAAGAUACUUAACUAAGCUAAAUCAGUUAAGCAUACUAUAAAAAUAUUCUUAAUGAAAAUGGAAUAAGAUGCUGCCUAGCUGACACAUUGUAAGCAAAUGUUCUAUCGUGUAGACUUUUUAAAAUAAAAACAAAGUUUCUUCUAUCUGGUGGUUUCCUGGCGCCCAGGGAUAGCCACUAUCUAAUGUGAGAACUCUGCAACCCAGCAGUAUUUAAAAAAUCCAAAAAAGACUUGACUCUUCAAGCAAAAUAUGCUUUAAAUUACAUUUAGCAAUGAUCAUCAAGACACACUAGAACUUAUUGUUUUCAAUUAAUUGUCCAUUAGUACCGAAGACAAAAAAAAAAAAAGAGUAUUUACAUUGUAAAUCCCUGACUGGUAUGUAGCACCAAAAAUUUGUUUUCUGACAUCUCAAAGAACUGUACUUUCAGCUCAUUUCACCCAACCCUUCUCUCCCUCGCUCUGGGAUGGAACUCAGGGUGAUGUACAUAGUACACAAGUCCUCCAUUAUUUUGAGUUAUACCCUCAGCUGGCCCCGCAGCCAUUUCUCUUGAAAUGCACUAUAAAAAUAUUCUUAAUCAUGAUGUAAUAGAAUGCUAAUUAGCUGACAUAUUGGAACCAAAUGUUCUAUCAUUUAGACUUUCUUUUAAUAAAAAUAAAGUUUGUUCUGCCAGGUAGUUUCCUGGUCCCUAGGGGUGUCACCUUAAGUGAAGGACCACUGUUGUAAUCUUGAACCCCUUGUUUUGGGCACUGAAGUGCCAGGAAAAGGGAAAAGAGGAAGCCAGGAAUGGUGACUCAUGCCUGUAUUCAGGAGUGGGAGGGUUAGAAUUCUGAGGCCAGCCUGUACCACAUAGUGAGUCCCAGCUAUGGUGUGAUAUCUGAUCCCAUUCCUGCCCCUCCCC